rnacentral:rRNA from 1 species
AGAGUUUGAUCCUGGCUCAGGAUGAACGCUGGCGGCGUGCUUAACACAUGCAAGUCGAACGAAGCACUUUACUUGAUCUUUUCGGAGUGAUUGUUUUGUGACUGAGUGGCGGACGGGUGAGUAACGCGUGGGUAACCUGCCUCACACAGGGGGAUAACAGUUGGAAACGGCUGCUAAUACCGCAUAAGCGCACAGUACCGCAUGGUAUGGUGUGAAAAACUCCGGUGGUGUGAGAUGGACCCGCGUCUGAUUAGCUAGUUGGCAGGGCAACGGCCUACCAAGGCGACGAUCAGUAGCCGACCUGAGAGGGUGACCGGCCACAUUGGGACUGAGACACGGCCCAAACUCCUACGGGAGGCAGCAGUGGGGAAUAUUGCACAAUGGGGGAAACCCUGAUGCAGCGACGCCGCGUGAGCGAAGAAGUAUUUCGGUAUGUAAAGCUCUAUCAGCAGGGAAGAAGAAAUGACGGUACCUGACUAAGAAGCACCGGCUAAAUACGUGCCAGCAGCCGCGGUAAUACGUAUGGUGCAAGCGUUAUCCGGAUUUACUGGGUGUAAAGGGAGCGCAGGCGGAAGGCUAAGUCUGAUGUGAAAGCCCGGGGCUCAACCCCGGUACUGCAUUGGAAACUGGUCAUCUAGAGUGUCGGAGGGGUAAGUGGAAUUCCUAGUGUAGCGGUGAAAUGCGUAGAUAUUAGGAGGAACACCAGUGGCGAAGGCGGCUUACUGGACGAUAACUGACGCUGAGGCUCGAAAGCGUGGGGAGCAAACAGGAUUAGAUACCCUGGUAGUCCACGCCGUAAACG